GAUGAACGCUGGCGGCGUGCCUAAUACAUGCAAGUCGAGCGAACGGACGAGAAGCUUGCUUCUCUGAUGUUAGCGGCGGACGGGUGAGUAACACGUGGAUAACCUACCUAUAAGACUGGGAUAACUUCGGGAAACCGGAGCUAAUACCGGAUGAUAUUUUGAACCGCAUGGUUCAAAAGUGAAAGACGGUCUUGCUGUCACUUAUAGAUGGAUCCGCGCUGCAUUAGCUAGUUGGUAAGGUAACGGCUUACCAAGGCAACGAUGCAUAGCCGACCUGGGAGGGUGAUCGGCCACAGUGGAACGGAGACACGGUCCAGACGCCUACGGGAGGGAGCAGGAGGGAAUCUUCCGCAAUGGGCGAAAGCCUGACGGAGCAAGGCCGCGUGAGUGAUGAAGGUCUGCGGAUCGUAAAACUCUGUUAUUAGGGAAGAACAUAUGUGUAAGUAACUGUGCACAUCUUGACGGUACCUAAUCAGAAAGCCACGGCUAACUACGUG
rnacentral:rRNA from 1 species